rnacentral:rRNA from 1 species
UACGAAGGGUGCAAGCGUUACUCGGAAUUACUGGGCGUAAAGCGUGCGUAGGUGGUUCGUUAAGUCUGUCGUGAAAGCCCCGGGCUCAACCUGGGAAUGGCGAUGGAUACUGGCGGGCUAGAGUGCGGUAGAGGGUGGUGGAAUUCCCGGUGUAGCAGUGAAAUGCGCAGAUAUCAGGAAGAACACCCGUGGCGAAGGCGGCUCUCUGGGACGGUACUGACGCUGAGACGCGAAAGCGUGGGGAGCGAACAGG